GACGAACCGUGCAAACGUUAUUCGGAAUCACUGGGCUUAAAGGGCGCGUAGGCGGAUUGCCAUGUCGGUGGUGAAAUCGUUCGGCCCAACCGGACAAGUGCCGCCGAUACUGGCAGUCUCGAGGGAGGUAGGGGUCGAGGGAACUGGUGGUGGAGCGGUGAAAUGCGUAGAUAUCACUAGGAACGCCGGUGGCGAAAGCGCUCGACUGGACCUCUUCUGACGCUGAGGCGCGAAAGCCAGGGGAGCAAACGGG
rnacentral:rRNA from 1 species